rnacentral:rRNA from 1 species
CAGCAGCCGCGGUAAUACGUAGGGUGCGAGCGUUAAUCGGAAUUACUGGGCGUAAAGCGUGCGCAGGCGGUUCGUUAAGACAGAUGUGAAAUCCCCGGGCUUAACCUGGGAACUGCAUUUGUGACUGGCGAGCUAGAGUAUGGCAGAGGGGGGUAGAAUUCCACGUGUAGCAGUGAAAUGCGUAGAGAUGUGGAGGAAUACCGAUGGCGAAGGCAGCCCCCUGGGCCAAUACUGACGCUCAUGCACGAAAGCGUGGGGAGCAAACAGGAUUAGAUACCCCGGUAGUCCCUGUCUCUUAUAU